GGGCACGUAGCUCAGUUGGUUAGAGUACCGUGUUGACAUCGCGGGGGUCACAGGUUCGAUCCCUGUCGUGCCCA
rnacentral:tRNA from 1 species